AUUGAACGCUGGCGGCAGGCCUAACACAUGCAAGUCGAACGAGUGGCGGACGGGUGAGUAAUGUCUGGGAAACUGCCUGAUGGAGGGGGAUAACUACUGGAAACGGUAGCUAAUACCGCAUACCAUCAGAUGUGCCCAGAUGGGAUUAGCUUGGUGGUGGGGUAACGGCUCACCAAGGCGACGAUCCCUAGCUGGUCUGAGAGGAUGACCAGCCACACUGGAACUUAGACCCGGUCCGGACCCCGCCGGGAGCCGGCAUUGGGGAAUUUUGCACAAUGGGCGCAAGCCUGAUGCAGCCAUGCCGCUUGAAUGAAGAAGGCCUUCGGGUUGUAAAGUACUUUCAGCGGGGGGGCGUUACCCGCAGAAGAAGCCCCGGCUAACUCCGUGCCAGCCGCCGCGGUAAUAC
rnacentral:rRNA from 1 species